rnacentral:rRNA from 1 species
AACGCUGGCGGCGUGCUUAACACAUGCAAGUCGCACGAGAACGCUUCAGCUUGCUGAGGCAAGUAAAGUGGCGCACGGGUGAGUAACGCGUGGGUAAUCUACCUCUGAAUUGGGGAUAACACUGCGAAAGCGGUGCUAAUACCGAAUAAUAUCAUCAGGGCUCCGGUCUUGGUGAUCAAAGGUGGCCUCUACGUGUAAGCUACUGUUUAGAGAUGAGCUCGCGUACCAUAGCUUGUUGGUAGGGUAACGGCCUACCAAGGCUGCGAUGGUUAGCUGGUCUGAGAGGAUGAUCAGCCACACUGGAACUGACACACGGUCCAGACUCCUACGGGAGGCAGCAGUGAGGAAUUUUGCGCAAUGGGGGAAACCCUGACGCAGCAACGCCGCGUGAGUGAUGAAGGCUUUCGGGUCGUAAAGCUCUGUCAAGUGGGAAGAACCUGCCUUGUGAUAAUACCAUAGGGCACCGACGGUACCACUGAAGGAAGCACCGGCUAACUCCGUGCCAG